AUUGAACGCUGGCGGCAGGCCUAACACAUGCAAGUCGAACGGUAACAGGAAGAAGCUUGCUUCUUUGCUGACGAGUGGCGGACGGGUGAGUAAUGUCUUGGAAACUGCCUGAUGGAGGGGGAUAACUACUGGAAACGGUAGCUAAUACCGCAUAACGUCGCAAGACCAAAGAGGGGGACCUUCGUGCCUCUUGCCAUCGGAUGUGCCCAGAUGGGAUUAGCUAGUAGGUGGGGUAACGGCUCACCUAGGCGACGAUCCCUAGCUGGUCUGAGAGGAUGACCAGCCACACUGGAACUGAGACACGGUCCAGACUCCUACGGGAGGCAGCAGUGGGGAAUAUUGCACGAUGGGCGCAAGCCUGAUGCAGCCAUGCCGCGUGUAUGAAGAAGGCCUUCGGGUUGUAAAGUACUUUCAGCGGGGAGGAAGGGAGUAAAGUUAAUACCUUUGCUCAUUGACGUUACCCGCAGAAGAAGCACCGGCUAACUCCGUG
rnacentral:rRNA from 1 species